AACCUAGCACACCUGCGGUGUGUACCUGCGGAGGGAUCAUUAACCUUUCAAAAAACAGGGUGCGUCGCGGCCCCCCUCCGGGGGCGGUUUGGGGUCCUCCCCUUCACGCGCGCACGACUGCAUCCUUACUUUACGAGCACCUUCUGUUCUCCCUCGGCGGGGCAACCUGCCGUUGGAACCGAAUAAACCCUUUUUCGCAUCCAGCAUUACCCGUUCCGAAACAAACAAUCGUUACAACUU
rnacentral:misc_RNA from 1 species